UCAGGGUCACUGUGGCCGUGGAAACUUGCACGGGCCUCAAGGGUCCAGCAGACCCUAGUUCUACGACAAGCCCUGCGUCGUGCUCCAGGGCAAGCCGCUCGGCCCUCCAGUCUCUCCCCGGGCAAGGUGCUCCCGUCCCGGCACGAAAGGACAGCACUCCUGCAAGCUCAAGGGUCCUGGGAUGAGUUUUUCCCGGGUCUGUCCCCUCUGUCCUGGCCACGGCGACGCUCCCUGAGCUCCUCCCCCUCCUGAGGGCUCUGAACUUGACAACGGUACAGAAGCGGUGGCCUGCCCCGCUUCCUGGGUUCUCUGGCCUGAGCCGGGCUCUCUGAUGACACAAGACACUGGUGGGCCUCCCUCAGAAAGCAAGAGCCACCAGCCAACUCUCGGGCUUGUUUUGAACGGCGAGGUGAUUGGCACAUGUGAGAACGGAACCGGCUCCAUUUGUUUGGGGGGGAGGUGGGUGGCUUCAGCUGCCUGGGCGACAAGCCCCGAAUCUGCGCUUCCUGGAAUCCCUUCUGCUCCUGCCCGAUCGGCUCCCCGUGUCCCCGAGAAAGGACUCUCGGGGGGCUGGCAUCUGCGAGCUGCCGGGUUUACAACGUGCUGUUCGGUGCCUCGCGUUGGCGAGCUCCUGUCAAGCCCUGUCCCCUCAGAGCUCCUCCCUGCCGCUGUCUCCCGCCCCCGCGGCCUCCCUGCCACCUGCCACCCUUGUGUGUACUCUCAUUUCCAGCCUGAAACAGAAGCCUGGGUGCGGUUAGGAGAAGCCGCGCACACGGCGUCAGCUGGGACGCCGCAGGAUGCUGCCCAGGGAGGGGACAGGAUGUGAAAGGCUUGGGUGCCGGAGCAGAAUCAAGACGAAUGUCGAGUGAUGGGCUGGGUGUUCUCCGUGACACGGAGCUCGAGGUCGAGACCCCGAAACCUUGCGCUGAAAGAAGCGACCCUGAGCCUCCCCAGCCUUCCCCUUCAUCCCGAUCCAAGGAGUGGGGAGCAGAGAAAGGGCGGCGCCGCCCACAGGUGACUCAGGCCGCCUCUGGCACAGGUGGGGGGGAUCACACAGAGGGCAACACCGGGAAGCACGGCCCCCAGGGGGACGCCCUGCAGGCAGGCCACCACGGCCCCGAAGUGUCCCUGUGAGCUCAUCUCUCCAAGACAAGACAGGCUAAUCCUGAAAUCCAGUCCACGGUUCACAAGCAAGGAGCUUAUUAAAGCUUGAAGAAUUAGAUGUGGUUUGAUUUCUGGUAAACCGAAGGAUACUUUAGACGUA